GACGAGCGCUGGCGGCGUGCUUAACACAUGCAAGUCGAACGGAAAGGCCCUGCUUUUGUGGGGUGCUCGAGUGGCGAACGGGUGAGUAACACGUGAGUAACCUGCCCUUGACUUUGGGAUAACUUCAGGAAACUGGGGCUAAUACCGGAUAGGAGCUCCUGCUGCAUGGUGGGGGUUGGAAAGUUUCGGCGGUUGGGGAUGGACUCGCGGCUUAUCAGCUUGUUGGUGGGGUAGUGGCUUACCAAGGCUUUGACGGGUAGCCGGCCUGAGAGGGUGACCGGCCACAUUGGGACUGAGAUACGGCCCAGACUCCUACGGGAGGCAGCAGUGGGGAAUAUUGCACAAUGGGCGGAAGCCUGUUGCAGCAACGCCGCGUGCGGGAUGACGGCCUUCGGGUUGUAAACCGCUUUCGCCUGUGACGAAGCGUGAGUGACGGUAAUGGGUAAAGAAGCACCGGCUAACUACGUG
rnacentral:rRNA from 1 species